GGUCAGCUGACACAUCCCUGCCAAUCUCCGGCAGACCCUCCCUCCCAGACCCUUCCACCUCCUUGACAGCUUCCAUGUUGAAGCUGCCUUCAACAUGGAUGCUGUCCAGGAAGUAGGAGGGUCUGGGAGGGAGGGUCUGCCGGAGAUUGGCAGGGAUGUGUCAGCUG